AGAAUCUAAAAGCAGAUAAAAAUGUAGGGGAGGAAAAUGGUAGCAGAUCAGUAUUUUUGACUUUGAACUCUAAGCAUCUUUCUAUAUGCCUCUAACAAUUUCUAGUACCACAGUGUCUUCUAUAUUCAUAAGAAAAUCAAAUAAAAAUGCAUUAGUAAUGAUAAAACAAUCUAUUCUCAUUAAAUCAUGUUAAGGAUGAUUUCAGAUUAGAUUUUCCAAGAGACCCAAAAAAAAUUUGGUAGAAAAUCGAUGUGCCUAAGCCAAGAUAAUGAAAGCUUUCUAUUUGUUUAACUUGGGGAAAUGUUUAUUUUCAAUUUAUUUAAUAGAUUACUUUCAUUUAAGAAACCAAACUCUAUAACAUUAACAUUGUUUACCUAUGUCUUAAAACUCAAAUAGCAAUAGUUAAUUAAAAAAUAUAAAUAAUAAUUUACCAGAGGUAGUCCAAGUUUAAAACCUUGUGAUUGAAUCUCCAACUCAAAGGUGAGGGAAACCAUAGUAAGUGAAGAAAUGUGGAUUCAGAGUCUCCUGAAAUAAUCACAUUAUCACCUUUUAAAUAGAAAAAGAGACACAAUUAAAGAAAGCUUUCAGGUAUGCUAUAAAGGCGUGAGGAUUUGUGGUCAGAAAUAUCCAAUUAUAUGCAUGACUUGGACAAGUCAUUAUAACGCGGCUUAGCUUCACUUUUCUUACUUGUAAAAUGACAAUAAUAAGAUUAUUUUGAGGAUCAAGUGAAAAAAAAGUCAUUUCAUUAUUACAUAACAGUACUUGAUUUUAAUGUCAAUUUGACCAAAAUGUCCAAAAAUAUCCUAAUAUAAGUGCAAAUGAUCUCAACAAAAAAACCCACUGUCAUUUUCCAGAUUGCUGCACUCAUAUCCAAAUUAUUUAGAAAGAAAAUCACAGAAGACUCACUUUAUAUAGAUAACUAAUAAAAAAUAUUUUUUUAGAAAAAAAAAUGGGUUUUUUUUGGGAAAUAAUUAACAACAUGUUUUUGUUAAUGGCUUUAUCUUUCUUUCAUUUAAAAAAAAUAAAACAUAAAGGCCAGACUUAAAGGAAGUACCUCAGAUUUAAAGAAAUUUGCACUUAUAUCAUAAAAAUAUAUUGUUAUUUUUAAAAAGCUGUGAGCCUUGAGGUUGUAAAACUAGUAUCUUGGACACCGAGUUUUAGAGGUUAGGAGAAGGACACUGGGUAUUUACUUUCUACAAAGACAGAGCAGGGCUUCAAGGCAUUUUUAGUAUGAAAAAAAAACAAAUAUAUACAUGAGAUUAAAAAACUAUUGAAGUCCAUGGCCACCACAUAAAAUUGUAUAGUUGGGGCACAGCACACCAUCUGGUACAAUUCAUACACACCAUGAUGGGGAAAGUACAAUGCUAUUUUCUUAUAUUGUGUAAUGAGUAGUGUUAUUGCCAGAAACAAAUGUGAGGAAAAUAUAAUUUCCCUCAUCAAAAAAUUCCCAGCUCAGAGGAGAAGACAGUGCAAGAACAGGCACAGAAACAGAUCAUUACAAAAGAAUGUGGGAGUGCAAAGACAGAAGUAGUCACAGAAGAAGAAAACUUAACACUGCUUAUGAUUUACAGAGAAAACAUACCUCAACUGAACCUGAAAUCAGGAGUAGCAGUUAGUAGAGAGAAGGUAGGACAGGAGCUUUCUAGACCCAUGGGUAGUAAUGACUGAGGUAUAGAGACAAGAAAGAGUCUAGUAUAUCUAUAGAGUUGCAAGCAGUUUGGUGUUAGGUCUGACUGCUCAAAGAGCCAGAUCUGACAUGUGUGUUGUGGUCUAGCAUUACAGCCACAGAAAUGACCACUAGUCUUAGAAUAGUCUGAAUCAAUGAAGUCCUGCCUUUAAAAAUAAUAAGUAUUGGCAAGGAUGUGGAGGAAAAGGAAUGCUUGUGCACUGUUGAUAGGGUUGUAAAUUUCUGCAGUAACUAUGGAAAAUAGUAUAGUGUUUUCUCAAAAACCUAAAUAAAGAAGUACCAUAUGAUCAAGUAAUUCCACUACUGGGUAUUUACCCAAAGAAAAUGAAAACACUAAUUGAGAAAGAUAUAUGUACCCCCAUGUUUACUGCAGCAUUAUUUACAAUAGCCAAGCCAUGGCAGCAACUUAAGUGUUCAUUGAUUGAUGGUAAAGAAGAUGUGGUAUAUAUACACAAUGGAAUAUUGUUCGGCCACAAAAAAGAAAUGAGAUCUUGGCUUUUGUAACAAUAUGAGUGGAUGUAGAGGGUAUUAUGCUUAGUGAAAUAUGCCCAAUAGAGAAAGAAAAAUACCAAAUGAUUUCACUUACAUGUGGAAUCUAAAAAACAAAACAAAUGAGCAAACAACCACAACCAAAAAGAGAGAGAGAGAGAAAGGGAUGCCUGAGUGGCUCAGUGGUUGAGCUCUUGCCUUCAGCUCCAGGCAUGAUCCUAGUCCUGGGAUUGAGUCCCACAUCAGGCUCCCUGUGGGGAGCCUGCUUCUCCCUCUGCUAAUGUCUCCGCCUCUCUCUUUGUGUCUCUCAUGAAUAAAUAAAUAAAAAAGAGAGGAAGGGGGAUCCCUGGGUGGUUUGGUGGUUUGGCACCUGCCUUUGGCCCAGGGUGCGAUCCUGGGGUCCCGGGAUCGGGUCCCACGUUGGGAUCCCGGCAUGGAGCCUGCUUCUCCCUCUGCCUGUGUCUCUGCCUCUCUUUCUUUCUCUGUCUCUCUCUAUGUCUAUCAUGAAUAAAUAAAUAAAAUCUUUUUUUAAAAAAGAGAGAGAGAGAGAAAGACUCAUAAACAUUGAGAACAAAGUGGUGGUUGCCAAAGGAAAAAGGAGGAUGGGCAAAAUUAGUGAAGAGGAUUAAGAGGUACAAACUUCCAGCUAUAAAAUAAAUAAAUCAUGUGGAUGAAAAGUACAGCAUAGGGAAUAUAGUCAAUAAUAUUUUAAUACACUUGUGGUGAGCAUUUCAUAAUUUAUAUAAUUGUUGGAUCACUAUGUGGUACACCUGAAACUAAUUUAGUAUAUGUCAACUAUACUUCAAUUAAAACUAAAAAAAAAAAAAAAAAAAAAAAAAAAA
rnacentral:lncRNA from 1 species